rnacentral:tRNA from 1 species
GUGCCUAUGGUGUAAUGGUUAGCACCAGGGUUUGUGGAGCCCUUAGUCCGGGUUCGAGCCCCGGUAGGCACCCCA